rnacentral:rRNA from 1 species
UACGGGGGGGGCAAGCGUUGUUCGGAAUUACUGGGCGUAAAGGGUUCGUAGGUGGCCGGCUAAGUCAUACGUGAAAUCCCUCAGCUUAACUGGGGAACUGCGUGUGAUACUGGAUGGCUUGGAUUUGGGAGAGGGAUGCGGAAUUCCAGGUGUAGCGGUGAAAUGCGUAGAUAUCUGGAGGAACACCGGUGGCGAAGGCGGCAUCCUGGACCAAUAUUGACGCUGAGGAGCGAAAGCCAGGGGAGCAAAGCGGG